rnacentral:lncRNA from 1 species
CUGUAAGGACUUGAAGGUGUGAUUUUUGGACUUGUUGGUGAAUAUGCUUGUGAAGGGCUAUACCUUGCUGAAGGAUUGUAACUUGGUGAGGUUGGACUGUAAGUUGGUGAGGUGGGACUGUAUCCAGGCGAAGUUGGGCUGUAGGCAGGUGAGGUUGGGCUAUAUGAUGGCGAGGUUGGGCUGUACGAUGGAGAGGUUGGGCUAUAUGAAGGUGAGGUUGGGCUGUAAGAUGGAGAGGUUGGGCUGUAAGAGGGUGAGGUAGGGCUGUAAGAGGGUGAUGUGGGGCUGUAAGACGGAGACGUGGGGCUGUAAGCCGGAGAGGUUGGGCUAUACGCAGGUGAGGUUGGGCUGUAUGCUGGAGAAGUUGGGCUGUAGCUCGGAGAUGUAGGGCUGUAGCUCGGAGAUGUGGGGCUAUAGCUAGGAGAUGUUGGGCUGUAGGAAGGAGACGUUGGUGAAUAAGAUGGGCUUGUGGGAGAAUACGCAGGGCUUGUAGGACUAUAUCCAGGAGAACUAGGACUAUAUGUUGGGGACGUAGGGCUGUAACCAGGGGAAGUAGGACUGUACCCAGGUGAGGUGGGGCUGUAUCCAGGAGAUGACGGGCUGUAUCCAGGAGAUGAAGGGCUGUACCCUGGAGAUGAUGUAGGAGAAAACGCCAUCCCGCCCACAUACGGAGAAAACUGAGCAUCUGAAACAGGAGAUAACCGAAGAUUUGGGCUCAGCAUAUAAUUUGGUGA